rnacentral:SRP_RNA from 2 species
GCCAGGCAUGGUGGCGAGUGCCUAUAAUCCCAGCUACUCAGGAGGCUGAGGCAGGAGAAUCGCUUGAACCCGGGAGUUGGAGGUUGCAGUGAGCUGAGACAGCACCACUGCAAUCCAGCCUGGGUGAUAGAGUGAGACUCCGUCUCAA